UCAAACCUUCAUCUCCUGCCUUGGCAGGAGGAUUCUUUACCACUGAGCCACCAGGGAAGCCCAGAAAGAUCUAUAUACCUGUCUUCUGUAACCAACAAAACAAUUUUUUUUGCUUGAUUUAUUUUUACCUAUUUAGUUAUUUCAACCAAUGUAACUCUUGGAGGCCAUCCAGUCAUUACUCACAUUCUUCUAAGUUGGAUCACAAAGAAGCCACCCCCAGGGAAUAGCUUGCCUCUGUGAGAUGGUGCAUCUCUGCCUACCUGCAGAUUUCACUAUCACAUUUGAAGGCAGGAAAAAUAUCAUUCAAUAACAUGCAGCUUGUCACAAUUGCUUUUUUAUCAUCUGCCAUUCUGGCUUUUCCUGUUCUGGUUAAACUUGGAUAAUUGUCUUAUGAGAUUCAGAAACGUGAAGAUUUGAGGGAGAUUUUGUGAUCUUCAUUCUCAUCUCAACUUGGAGCCAGGAUGUCCACACAACCUGCCAGACAGAUGGGAUUAGUCAGCACUGAAGGAUGGAUGAGGUGUUCCUUUUGUGGGAGUCCAGUUCCACAAACCCUACUGAAGAGUUACUAUGGCCAAGAUGUGAGAGAUUCAGAAGUUAACCCAAGACAGAGUCAGCCUCACAGAUGUACCUGAGUGUGUGUAUCUUCAGAAUUCUGAAGUGCUGAACUCCUUGUAGGAGCUGGAGCAGAAACAAUGGCAGCAGUAACAACGGAAGUAGUUUAAUUUGGGCAUUCACACUUAAGGGAACACAGAUGAAGAAUGAAAAAAAUUUCGAGAGAAAGAAAAGGAAGAGAUCAUUUCAUGUGAUAGAGGGACCUGGCAAAUCUCCAGAUGCUUAUGGAACAAUUUCCUCUGAAAGGAAAUCAAGAAACACGGUAUGUGACAUCUACACACUGGGGGAAGGAGACAACAACCCACAUCAAAACAGGUCUGAAUUAGAUAACCUUUAGUGGACUCUUGAAGGACUUGAUGUUUAUGAUUAUUUUGCACUUAAAAAGAUCUCCUGACCAUUGUCUAUUCACCCGUACAACUCCUCCUUCAGACUCUCAAUGACUUGAAGGUGACAGGAUUCAGGAGAAGCUACCCCAACAUAUGGCACAUUGGCAUACUGAAGGUUUAGAGUUGAAAGAAUCUGAGAAAUGACAGAUGCAGAAAAGAUUCUCUGAUCUUCUCCCAAGACAGGUCACAAGAUUCUCCAGUGAGAGAAGUGUCCUCCCUACUCCCGGGGGAAAGGAGUGCCCUCACCUCCAAAGACAGAGGGACCCCCCAAGAGCUAUCACAAUGAACAGGCCUCACUGUCUCCCCCACUCACUGCAUUGGGCUUCACUCUUUCUCAGCCCAUCACAUUUUCCCACAACUCCUCACCAAACCUCACACACAAACAGGCCUAAGCACCGCUUUGGUUCCUCAUGAAGGCUCCCAGGUCACAUGAAACAUAUUGAAUCCGUGUGUAUGCUUUUCUCUUAUUAAUCAGGGGCUUCAGCCAAGAAUUCAGAGGGUAAAGAAACAAUAUUUUCUCACACACAC